CGGGCGGUGUACUCCCAGAUGGCGUCGGGGUCGACCAGCGCGGCGUCGCCGAAGUAGGCGCCGUCCGCGAGGACGCCGAGGACCGCGUCGUCGCCGUAGGGGCCGGUGCCGAUCUUCUCGACCCUGCCGUGCGCCAGCAGGUACACCUCGCCCGUCGGGCUGCCGAAGGAGGCGAUGACCUCGCCCGCGGCGAACUCGCGCUGCCGGCAGCGCCGGGCGAGCUCGGCGAGCACCUCCUCGUCCUCGUACGACCGCAACGCGGGCAGUUCGCCCAGCUCGGCGGGGAUGACCUCGACCUGGUCGCCGGUCUUGACGAAGGUGAUGCGGCCGUCCCCGACGGCGUAGGUCAGUCGCCGGUUCACCCGGUACGUGCCGCCCUGCACGUUCACCCAGGGCAGCGUCCGCAGCAGCCAGCGGGAGCUGAUCUCCUGCAUCUGCGGCGCGGACUUGGUCGUGGUGGCCAGGUUCCGCGCGGCCGCGGUGCCGAGACUCUGCUGCGUCUUGG
rnacentral:antisense_RNA from 1 species